CAUCAAGUCCAACCACCAACCCAGUACUACCACUGUAACCCCUAAAUCCCUAAACCAUAUCACCCAGCAGUGAAUUUCUUCCU